GAGUUUGAUCGUGGCUCAGAUUGAACGCUGGCGGCAUGCCUUACACAUGCAAGUCGAGCGGCAGCAUGAUCUAGCUUGCUAGAUUGAUGGCGAGUGGCGAACGGAUGAGUAAUACAUCGGAACGUGCCCUGUAGUGGGGGAUAACUAGUCGAAAGAUUAGCUAAUACCGCAUACGACCUGAGGGUGAAAGUGGGGACCGCAAGGCCUCAUGCUAUAGGAGCGGCCGAUGUCUGAUUAGCUAGUUGGUGGGGUAAAGGCCCACCAAGGCGACGAUCAGUAGCUGGUCUGAGAGGACGAUCAGCCACACUGGGACUGAGACACGGCCCAGGACUCCUACGGGAGGCAGCAGUGGGGAAUUUUGGACAAUGGCGAAAGCCUGAUCCAGCAAUGCCGCGUGUGUGAAGAAGGCCUCGGUUCGUAAG
rnacentral:rRNA from 1 species